rnacentral:rRNA from 1 species
CCUACGGGGGGCAGCAGUGAGGAAUAUUGGUCAAUGGGCGCGAGCCUGAACCAGCCAAGUAGCGUGAAGGAUGACUGCCCUACGGGUUGUAAACUUCUUUUAUAAAGGAAUAAAGUGAGGCACGUGUGCCUUUUUGUAGGUACUUUAUGAAUAAGGAUCAGCUAACUCCGUGCCAGCAGCCGCGGUAAUACGGAGGAUCCGAGCGUUAUCCGGAUUUAUUGGGUUUAAAGGGAGCGUAGACGGGUUGUUAAGUCAGUUGUGAAAGUGUGCGGCUCAACCGUAAAAUUGCAAUUGAUACUGGCAGCCUUGAGUACAGUGGAGGUAGGCGGAAUUCGUGGUGUAGCGGUGAAAUGCUUAGAUAUCACGAAGAACUCCGAUUGCGAAGGCAGCUUACUAAGCUGCCACUGACAUUGAUGCUCGAAAGUGUGGGUAUCAAACAGGAUUAGAUACCCGUGUAGUC